rnacentral:rRNA from 1 species
AUUUUCUGCCACCGAAUACAUUAGCAUGGGAUAAUGGAAUAGGACCCUGUCCUCCUAUUUUCAGUUGGUUUUGGCAGCGCGAGGACUAGGGUAAUGAUUAAUAGGGAUAGUUGGGGGCAUUAAUAUUUAAUUGUCAGAGGUGAAAUUCUUGGAUUUAUGAAAGAUUAACUUCUGCGAAAGCAUCUGCCAAGGAUGUUUUCAUUAAUCAAGAACGAAAGUUAGGGGAUCGAAGACGAUCAGAUACCGUCGUAGUCUUAACCAUAAACGAUGCCGACCAGCGAUUAGGAGACGUUGAAUACAAAACACCACCAUCGGCGCGGUCGUCCCUGGCUCGUCGUCUCACGACGGCGGGCGGGGGCGGYUUAGCCCGAUGGCACCGGUGAAUGACUCCCCUAGCA